UACGUAGGUGGCAAGCGUUGUCCGGAUUUACUGGGCGUAAAGAGCGCGCAGGCGGUCGUUCAAGUCGCGUGUGAAAGCCCCCGGCUCAACUCGGAAAGGUCAACUGAUACUGUGCGACUAGAGUGCAGAAGGGGCAACUGGAAUUCUCGGUGUAGCGGUGAAAUUCGUAGAUAUUCGCAAGAACACCAGUGGCGAACGCGGCUCACUGGCCCGAUACUGACGCUGAGGCACGAAAGCGUGGGGAGCAAACAGG
rnacentral:rRNA from 1 species